AUUGAACGCUGGCGGCAGGCCUAACACAUGCAAGUCGAACGAGUGGCGGACGGGUGAGUAAUGUCUGGGAAACUGCCUGAUGGAGGGGGAUAACUACUGGAAACGGUAGCUAAUACCGCAUACCAUCAGAUGUGCCCAGAUGGGAUUAGCUAGUUGUUGGGGUAACGGCUCACCAAGGCGACGAUCCCUAGCUGGUCGGAGAGGAUGACCAGCCACCGUGGAACUGAGACACGGUCCAGACUCCUACGGGAGGAAGCAGUGGGGAAUAUUGCACAAUGGGCGCAAGCCUGAUGCAGCCAGGCCGCGUGUAUGAAGAAGGCCUUCGGGUUGUAAAGUACUUUCAGCGGGGAGGCGUGACACGAAGAAGAAGCACCGGCUAACUCCGUGCCAGCAGCCGCGGUAAUUG
rnacentral:rRNA from 1 species